rnacentral:rRNA from 1 species
CCCCUAGAUGUUCUGGGCCGCACGCGCGCUACACUGAACAGUUCAACAAGUCAUAACCUUGGCCGAUAGGUCUGGGUAAUCUUUGAACGCUGUUCGUGAUUGGGAUAGACCUUUGCAAUUAUGGGUCUUCAACGAGGAAUUCCUAGUAAACGCAAGUCAUCAGCUUGCAUUGAUUACGUCCCUGCCCUUUGUACACACCGCCCGUCGCACCUACCGAUUGAAUGGUCCGGUGAAAUCUCGGGACGGCGGCUUGGUCGCUUGCGUCCGACUGCUGAAACUUGAUUAAACCAUAUCAUUUAGAGGAAGGUGAAGUCGUAACA